rnacentral:rRNA from 1 species
UACAGGGGGGCAAGCGUUGUUCGGAAUACUGGGCGUAAAGGGUCAGUAGGCGGCCAACUAAGUCCGGACGUGAAAUCCCAAAGCUUAACUUUGGAACUGCGUCGGAUACUGGAUGGCUUGAAUUCGGGAGAGGGAUGCAGAAUUCCAGGUGUAGCGGUGAAAUGCGUAGAUAUCUGGAGGAAUACCGGUGGCGAAGGCGGCAUCUGGACCGACAUUACGCUGAACGACGGAAAGCUAAGGGAGCAAACCGGGAGUUAGAAAACC